rnacentral:piRNA from 1 species
UCCAAAGCUCCUUGAUUCCUGGGUGCUGG